GGUUUAGAGUCCUCGGCGUCAGGAGUGAACGCUGGCGGCGUGCUUAACACAUGCAAGUCGACGAAGCGCCUGCUUGAAUCUCGGGAAGGAGAGGCCUGCGACUGAGUGGCGGACGGGUGAGUAACGCGUGGGCAACCUGCCCCGCACUGGGGGACAACAGCUGGAAACGGCUGCUAAUACCGCAUAAGCGCACAGCUUCGCAUGAAGCGGUGUGAAAAACUCCGGUGGUGCGGGAUGGGCCCGCGUCUGAUUAGCUGGUUGGCGGGGUAACGGCCCGACCAAGGCAACGAUCAGUAGCCGGCCUGAGAGGGUGGACGGCCACAUUGGGACUGAGACACGGCCCAGACUCCUACGGGAGGCAGCAGUGGGGAAUAUUGCACAAUGGGGGGAAACCCUGAUGCAGCGACGCCGCGUGAGCGAAGAAGUAUUUCGGUAUGUAAAGCUCUAUCAGCAGGAAAGAAAAUGACGGUACCUGACUAAGAAGCUCCGGCUAAAUACGUG
rnacentral:rRNA from 1 species